AGCUGUCAAAAUGCUUCCUUCGUCUAUUGGAAAUCUAAUUACUCUUCAAACUUUAGACCUUAGUGGCUGCAAGCACCUUGUGAGUCUACCAACCAACAUUUGUAGGUUGAAAAAUCUGAAGGAACUCAAUCUCUAUGGCUGCUUUGAACUUGAAAAAUUCCCAGAGAUCUUGGAGCCAAUGGAACAUUUGGUGUCUCUUCGUUUGCAAGGGACAGCUGUCAAAAUGCUUCCUUCGUCUAUUGGAAAUCUAAUUACUCUUCAAACUUUAGACCUUAGUGGCUGCAAGCACCUUGUGAGUCUACCAACCAACAUUUGUAAGUUGAAAAAUCUGAAGGAACUCAAUCUCUAUGGCUGCUCUGAACUUGAAAAAUUCCCAAAGAUCUUGGAGCCAAUGGAACAUUUGGUGUCUCUUCGUUUGCAAGGGACAGCUGUCAAAAUGCUUCCUUCGUCUAUUGGAAAUCUAAUUAGUCUUCCAACUUUAGACCUUAGUGGCUGCAAGCACCUUGUGAGUCUACCAACCAACAUUUGUAAGUUGAAAAAUCUGAAGCAACUCAAUCUCUCUGGCUGCUUUGAACUUGAAAACUUCCCAGAGAUCUUGGAGCCAAUGGAACAUUUGGUGUCUCUUUGUUUGCAAGGGACAGCUGUCAAAAUGCUUCCUUCGUCUAUUGGAAAUCUAAUUAGUCUUCAAACUUUAGACCUUUGUGGCUGCAAGCACCUUGUGAAUCUACCAACCAACAUUUGUAAGUUGAAAUAUCUGGAGGAACUCAAUCUCUCUGGCUGCUCUGAACUUGAAAACUUCCCAGAGAUCUUGGAGCCAAUGGAACAUUUGGUGUCUCUUAGUUUGCAAGGGGCAGCUGUCAAAAUGCUUCCUUCGUCUAUUGGAAAUCUAAUUAGUCUUCAAACUUUAGACCUUCGUGGCUGCAAGCACCUUGUGAGUCUACCAACCAACAUUUGUAAGUUGAAAUAUCUGGAGGAACUCAAUCUCUCUGGCUGCUCUGAACUUGAAAACUUCCCAGAGAUCAUAAAGCCAAUGGAACAUUUGAAGUACUUAAAUUUAAGUGGAACAACGGUUA
rnacentral:lncRNA from 1 species